rnacentral:ncRNA from 2 species
AAAGACCACAAGGGGAGUCGUAUCGGCUGAGAUUGAACAUUCGUUCUAACCCUUUGAACCUGUUAGUUAAUUCUAGCGUAGGGAUGUGGCUUUAUUGAUGG